UACGGAGGGUGCGAGCGUUGUCCGGAAUCAUUGGGCGCAAAGGGCGCGUAGGUGGCGGGACAAGCGUGCGGUGAAAGCCUGGGGCUCAACCCCGGGUCGGCCGUGCGAACUGUUUUGCUUGAGCACUGUAGAGGCAGGCGGAAUUCCGGGUGUAGCGGUGGAAUGCGUAGAGAUCCGGAAGAACACCGGUGGCGAAGGCGGCCUGCUGGGCAGUGGCUGACGCUGAGGCACGAAAGCGUGGGGAGCAAACAGG
rnacentral:rRNA from 1 species